rnacentral:lncRNA from 1 species
GGGUUUUGUGAUUUAGAAAUUAGGAUAACAAGAAUAUUUGUGGAUAGAUGAGUAUUCUUUAAGAAUUUUUCAUCAAUAUGUUGUAUUUCAAAAUAAUUUUCUUAGAAACUUCUAUUUUAGGAAAGUUUUCAUUUUUUGAGAAAUAUUGUAGAUUUGGGUUUUGUGAUUUAGAAAUUAGGAUAACAAGAAUAUUUGUGGAUAGAUGAGUAUUCUUUAAGAAUUUUUCAUCAAUAUGUUGAAUUUUAAAAUAAUUUUCUUAGAAACUUCUAUUUUAGGAAAGUUUUCAGUUUUUUUGCGAAAUAUUGUAGAGUUGGGUUUUGUGAUUUAGAAAUUAGGAUAACAAGAAUAUUUGUGGAUAGAUGAGUAUUCUUUAGGAUUUUUCAUCAAU